rnacentral:tRNA from 1 species
ACUCCCGUAGCUUAAUGGUAAAGCAUACGUUUCCUAAACGUCAGACUGCGGGUUCGAGUCCCGUCGGGAGUAC